rnacentral:rRNA from 1 species
CCCGCUGAACUUAAGCAUAUCAAUAAGCGGAGGAAAAGAAACUAACAAGGAUUCCCCUAGUAACUGCGAGUGAAGCGGGAAAAGCUCAAAUUUAAAAUCUGGUAGUCUUUGGCUGCCCGAGUUGUAAUCUAGAGAAGCGUUAUCCGUGCUGGACCGUGUAUAAGUCUCCUGGAAUGGAGCGUCAUAGAGGGUGAGAAUCCCGUCUUUGACACGGACUACCAGUGCUUUGUGAUGCGCUCUCAAAGAGUCGAGUUGUUUGGGAAUGCAGCUCUAAAUGGGUGGUAAAUUCCAUCUAAAGCUAAAUAUUGGCGAGAGACCGAUAGCGAACAAGUACCGUGAGGGAAAGAUGAAAAGAACUUUGGAAAGAGAGUUAAAUAGUACGUGAAAUUGUUGAAAGGGAAACGCUUGAAGUCAGUCGCGUUGAUCAGGGAUCAACCUUGCUUUUGCUUGGUGCACUUCCUGGUUUACGGGUCAGCAUCAAUUUUGACCGAUGGAAAAAGGUCAGGGGAAUGUGGCAUCUUCGGAUGUGUUAUAGCCUCUGAUUGUAUACAUUGGUUGGGAUUGAGGAACUCAGCACGCCGCAAGGCCGGGUUUUAACCACGUUCGUGCUUAGGAUGCUGGCAUAAUGGCUUUAAUCGACCCGUCUUGAAACACGG